GAAGGAGCCAAUGCAUGCUCCAUUUUUCUUUUGAAUUACAUUUUAGAAAAGAGACUAGACCUGACACUAACUGCAAGAAAAUGCUACAAUAAACCACUAAUAAUUCCAAAUUUGCUGUAUAAUUCAAUAAUGUUGACUAGAAAAACUCAAAAAAAAAAUUGUAGGCAUUGUAAAGAAAUGUAAUGCCUAAAAUAAUAAACAGAUUUCCAAUCCUAAUCUAUAAAAAGCCAUUUAGGUCAAAUAUUUUACACUAAAAUAUACAAUUUCGUUUUUUCUCGUUUCUUUUGUUUAGAAUGAUUUCUGUGGUCCCUUUGUCUGUUCUGUGAUUUUUCCAACAUGCAAAGUAAAGCUAAGCUUUCCUGUGAUAUUAGAGCUGAAAUAUCGCAGGAGAGCAGCUUUAUUUUAGACAAAUGGAGCCUCCUGCACCCUUGGAUUGGUUGUUUCUUUCUGUUCCUUCCAGCUGAGUUCAGUUUGUUUUGACCUGAGUUUCCUCUGCUGACUUUGUCUAAGACGCUGACUAAAACCUUGCUGUGCGAUUCUCCGUCAAAACACAAACUUGUUUUGCCUGCAGCCUGAGGGAGGAUCUGCUGCGGUUCGAAGCUGCGACACGCUGUUUUUACGAGCAGCACUUCCACAUCAAGUCAGAUGUUUGCAGAGUAGCUCAUACCUGAAAUUCAUCCUUCAGGCUGUUUUUCAAAAGGUUUUUUUUUUUUUUUAGGGAAGCUGAUGUGUUUUUCCUUCAAAACAAUCUUUUUUUUAAGUAUUUUAACCAACAGAAUGCUUGUAAUCAGCUGGUAAAUGUGUUUUUAUGUCAUUAAAAAUCAACAUUUGUUCUCACAGGUACUAUUUAAAGCCGUCUGAAACAGAUUUUCUCUUCUGUCCCACAAUUAGGCAACAGGAAAAUUUGGUUCAAGUGAUCUUCACGAAAUUUCAUGCCGUCAGCUUAAGUUUACAACCACAACUGACGAUUUGUUGACCUUUGACCUUGCAAAAGGGUCAACUAUCUAUAGUACCUUCUACAAAUUUAAACUCUUCCCAGCAAUCGACUAAUAACUUCUCAAGUCAUUGGGAAAAAGAUGCUUGGGAAACAUUUUGGAGUUAGAAGUUUUAGAUGUUAAAUGGCUUUAGUUACUUUUGCCGAUUCUUCUAAAAGUUACACGGAUCUUUGCGGCAUCCCCAGGCAACAAAAACAUAAAAUGGUUGCUAUGGAGAAAACGGAAAAGUCGCCAUUUAAAAAAUAAAAAACAUAUUUUUUUUAAAUGAAUUUCUCCCAUGCAGCUCUGACUAGGGAGGCUGGGGGAAGAGAGGAAGACGGAAGCAUCUGCUCAGCCGGAACGAGCAGGUAUAAAGGGUCCGGUUCCUUUUUUGGUCGAAGCUCCAGAAUCAGAAAUCAGGAAACACCGAAGAAACGGGACAGAGAAAAGCUUUUCUGGGUUUUGCUGCUUCAUCCUUCAUGCUGACAAAGUGGUGCCGUCUGUUUUGAGAAGUGUACCGGUCCCAUCUGCCGCAAAGCAGACCCAUAUGACUACGCUACCACCCCCAUGCUGCACAGCUGGGAUGGUGGCUAGACCUGGAAUUAAGAUUUUGGCUCCUAUGGAAGUAACAAACGGUCUCUCUGAUGUUUGUCCCGAAGGUAUGUUCUCAGUUCAUGGUGGUGCAGGAAUUGCUUUACCGAAGAUAAUCAUCCCACAGCUGGAGGCUAUAUCGUCGUGGAGUGGACUCACUUAUUUCACGCCUUAACAAAAAGAGAUUCAUCUCUGGAGCAGAAGUUUCUCACCCCUGAGGUGAUGCAGUAUUGUCUGGACGGAUGGGACCUUCAAGCCAUUUUCCAUGAUAUCAAAGUCGGAGGCUCAAUGUUUGAGCUCUGCCUUCAUGUGCAUCCACAGGGGGGCCUACAUUUAACCCAAAUUAAAUGAAUUAACCUAUCA